GCAGAGGUUUCUAUGGAAUCACUAAGACGUCAGAUGAUCAGAGGACACACAGGGCGAUGAUACAAGGUCCAGACAGGAACAAGAGGAGAAGCUGAUCUUGACAGCCUGGCAAAGCAUGUCCUCAGCUCUGCAGCAGUACAGUCUGUGUGAGCAAUCCAGAGCUCCAGGCCCGGCUCAGUCCUUCCUGUCAAAGCAGAGGCUCUCCACCCAGGCGAGGAGGGCUCUCUCCCCCCGGCUGCAGCCCAGGUAGGAGCCUCCAUAUACAGGGAGAAAUGGAGCAGUGCUGCCCGCACACAGGCACCACGGAAAGCAGGACUGUCGAGGAAGGUGUGCAUUUCCAUUGACUGAGGUCUGUGCUUAUUUGGUUUGGUGAUAUCACCCCCUGCUGGCCAAUGCUGUUACUGGAAUGAUAUUUAAUGUAAAUACUAAAUAGUAAGUGUCAUAGAUGACUGUUUUUAUAUAUACUAUAACUAAAUGUGUGCUUGUCGGUAAUUACCAGAUUGCAUUCCUCACUGCAUAAUAUCUAUACAUUUAUUUCUGCAGGUAAGAUACAUAUCCAUUAGAAAUAAUGCAAAACAAUGACUAUUCGGUUGUCAUUAAUGUAAACCUGUUGUAUCAUCUCAUUCAUUUAAUUGCUUAAAUUAUGUUGAAAAAACAAACAAACAUACAAGACAAUGCAUUAGAAAUCUAUUUACAGGUGUAUUUUACUAAUGAAAGAAAAUAACGUGAACAAAUAAAACUUGCACCC